rnacentral:rRNA from 1 species
UACGUAGGGACCAAGCGUUGUUCGGAUUUACUGGGCGUAAAGGGCGCGUAGGCGGCGUGGUAAGUCACUUGUGAAAUCUCCGAGCUUAACUCGGAACGGUCAAGUGAUACUGCUGUGCUAGAGUGCAGAAGGGGCAAUCGGAAUUCUUGGUGUAGCGGUGAAAUGCGCAGAUAUCAGGAGGAACACCGGUGGCGAAGGCGGAUCUCUGGGCCUUACCUGACGCUGAGGCGCGAAAGCUAGGGGAGCGAACAGG